rnacentral:tRNA from 1 species
GUGAGCGUAGCUCAGCUGGUAGAGCACUCGGUUGUGGUCCGAGCGGUCGCGGGUUCAAAUCCCGUCGCUCACCCCA